rnacentral:rRNA from 1 species
UACGUAUGGUGCAAGCGUUAUCCGGAUUUACUGGGUGUAAAGGGAGCGUAGGCGGCGCGUUAAGUCUGAUGUGAAAACCCGAGGCUCAACCACGGGAGUGCAUUGGAAACUGGCGGGCUGGAGUGCCGGAGAGGUAAGCGGAAUUCCUAGUGUAGCGGUGAAAUGCGUAGAUAUUAGGAGGAACACCAGUGGCGAAGGCGGCUUACUGGACGGCAACUGACGCUGAGGCUCGGAAGCGUGGGGAGCAAACAGG